rnacentral:rRNA from 1 species
GUGGGUAGCGGUGAAAUUCCAAUCGAGCCCGGAGAUAGCCUGGUUCUCCCCGAAAUAGCUUUAGGGCUAGCCUCAAGGUGAGAGAUACGGAGGUAGAGCACUGAAUGUCCUAGGGGGUAUUGCACCUACCGAAGACUAUCAAACUCCGAAUGCCGUCAUCUUAUACUUGGGAGUCAGACUGUGGGUGAUAAGAUUCAUAGUC